ACAUGCAAGUCGAACGCGUCUUGGGGGCAACUCCAAGAUGAGUGGCGAACGGGUGAGUAACACGUGGGUAAUCUCCCCCCGAGUGAGGGAUAAGCCCCCGAAAGGGGGUCUAAUACCGCAUAACACCCUGGGGCAUAAGCUUCCAGGGUCGAAGCCGCAAGGCGCUUGGGGAUGAGCCUGCGUCCUAUUAGCUAGUUGGUAGGGUAACGGCCUACCAAGGUUAUGAUGGGUAGCCGACCUGAGAGGGUGAUCGGCCACACUGGGACUGAGACACGGCCCAGACUCCUACGGGAGGCAGCAGUGGGGAAUCUUGGACAAUGGGGGAAACCCUGAUCCAGCGACGCCGCGUGAGCGAUGAAGUCCUUCGGGGUGUAAAGCUCUUUCGGCGGGAACGAUUA
rnacentral:rRNA from 1 species